rnacentral:rRNA from 1 species
UACGUAGGGGGCAAGCGUUGUCCGGAAUCAUUGGGCGUAAAGAGCGUGUAGGCGGCCCGGUCAGUCCGCCGUGAAAGUCCAGGGCUCAACCCUGGAAUGCCGGUGGAUACUGCCGGGCUGGAGUCCGGAAGAGGCGAGUGGAAUUCCUGGUGUAGCGGUGAAAUGCGCAGAUAUCAGGAGGAACACCGGUGGCGAAGGCGGCGACCUGGGUCGAUACUGACGCUGAUGCGCGAAAGCGUGGGGAGCAAACAGG